rnacentral:rRNA from 1 species
CCUACGGGGUGCAGCAGUGGGGAAUAUUGGACAAUGGGCGAAAGCCUGAUCCAGCCAUGCCGCGUGUGUGAAGAAGGCCUUCGGGUUGUAAAGCACUUUCAGUGGGGAAGAAAGCCUUGGGGCUAAUACCCUCGAGGAAGGACAUCACCCACAGAAGAAGCACCGGCUAACUCCGUGCCAGCAGCCGCGGUAAUACGGAGGGUGCGAGCGUUAAUCGGAAUUACUGGGCGUAAAGCGCGCGUAGGCGGUCUGAUAAGCCGGUUGUGAAAGCCCCGGGCUCAACCUGGGAACGGCAUCCGGAACUGUCAGGCUAGAGUGCAGGAGAGGAAGGUAGAAUUCCCGGUGUAGCGGUGAAAUGCGUAGAGAUCGGGAGGAAUACCAGUGGCGAAGGCGGCCUUCUGGACUGACACUGACGCUGAGGUGCGAAAGCGUGGGUAGCAAACAGGAUUAGAACCCUGGUAGUC